rnacentral:rRNA from 1 species
GGAGAGGUGGUGCAUGGCCGUCGUCAGUUCGUACUGUGAAGCAUCCUGUUAAGUCAGGCAACGAGCGAGACCCACGCCCACGGUUGCCAGCGCACUCUCUGGAGUGACGGGUACACUGUGGGGACCGCCGCUGCUAAAGCGGAGGAAGGAAUGGGCAACGGUAGGUCAGUAUGCCCCGAAUAUCCCGGGCUACACGCGAGCUACAAUGGUUGGUACAAUGGGUAUCUACCCCGAAAGGGGACGGGAAUCUCCUAAAACCAAUCUUAGUUCGGAUUGAGGGCUGCAACUCGCCCUCAUGAAGCUGGAAUCCGUAGUAAUCGCGUUUCAACAGAACGCGGUGAAUACGUCCCUGCUCCUU